rnacentral:rRNA from 1 species
CACCAGACUCCUACGGGAGGCAGCAGUGGGGAAUAUUGCACAAUGGGGGAAACCCUGAUGCAGCGACGCCGCGUGAGUGAAGAAGUAUUUCGGAAUGUAAAGCUCUAUCAGCAGGGAAGAAAAUGACGGUACCUGACUAAGAAGCCCCGGCUAACUACGUGCCAGCAGCCGCGGUAAUACGUAGGGGGCAAGCGUUAUCCGGAUCUACUGGGUGUAAAGGGAGCGUAGACGGCCAGACAAGUCAGAAGUGAAAGCCCUGGGCUCAACUCUGGGACUGCUUUUGAACCUGCCGGGCUGGAGUGCAGGAGAGGUAAGCGGAAUUCCUAGUGUAGCGGUGAAAUGCGUAGAUAUUAGGAGGAACACCAGUGGCGAAGGCGGCCUGCUGGACGAUAACUGACGUUGAGGCUCGAAAGCGUGGGGAGCAAACAGGAUUAGAUACCCCAGUACA